GACGAACGCUGGCGGCGUGCUUAACACAUGCAAGUCGAACGGAAAGGCCCUGCUUUUGUGGGGUGCUCGAGUGGCGAACGGGUGAGUAACACGUGAGUAACCUGCCCUUGACUUUGGGAUAACUUCAGGAAACUGGGGCUAAUACCGGAUAGGAGCUCCUGCUGCAUGGUGGGGGUUGGAAAGUUUCGGCGGUUGGGGAUGGACUCGCGGCUUAUCAUCUUGUUGGUGGGGUAGUGGCUUACCAAGGCUUUGACGGGUAGCCGGCCUGAGAGGGUGACCGGCCACAUUGGGACUGAGAUACGGCCAAGACUCCGACGGGAGGCAGCAGUGGGGAAUAUUGCACAAUGGGCGGAAGCCGAAUGCAGCAACGCCGCGUGCGGGAUGAAGGCCUUCGGGUUGUCAACCGCUUUCGCCUGUGACGAAGCGUGAGUGACGGUAAUGGGUAAAGAAGCACCGGCUAACUACGUG
rnacentral:rRNA from 1 species